AGUCCAGUGUUAAAAAUUAUUUCGUAUAGAUGUCAUGUGACAUAUGACGGAUCUUUUAGGAGGAAAAAAAUUCUUUUCACAAGUUUCACAAUCACCAAAAAGUUCAUUCAAGUAUUUUGUGACAUGUCCGAUUAUCAAGACCACAAAAUCUUUAAACAAAACAGAAAAUUAUCUGAUAAAGAGCUUACACAAUUGGCAAUAGAGGAACUAAAACUGGAAAUAGUAAAAGCUUCAGCUCGUGCAGAGAUUACUGGACCGUCAGGAUAUAAACCAUGCCCGCUUAAAAGGACAAAUAAGAGGUUUUUGCGAUGCACACUGACAUCCGCCGCGAGUCACAACAAGAGGGUACGAGAAAGAAGAUACAAGGGUAGCUUAGAUCAGUUAAGUCGCCUGGAAAAACAACAAAACGCUAAAAUAAAAGAGCAUCGAGAAAAUGAGUCUAUGAAUUCAGCAAGUUACAUAGUUCCGGAACAUAGAAACAGAGUGAAAAAUUAAAUAAAACUUUAAAUUGGCAAUUUAUUGGAAAAAUUCGUUUAAUUAAAAAGAUUUUGAAACAAA